AACACCGGUAAAGACUACAGUGCAAUUAAACAACUGUUAGUGGAUCUGUGAUCUACUAAUCAAAUUUUUAAGUUAUGAACAUGAUAAUUAGACAAAAUUAAUGUUAAGUACUUAAAGUUAGAGUCUUGAGAGUUUUCGGGUAAAAAUUUGACGACGGAUCAGUUAAAAAUUACACCGGGUCUCACUAAAGGACGAAUAUCACUUAAGUGACAUGGCACCCCUCAUUAGGGCACCCUCCUCUCCUUCCCUUCCAUUUCUGAUCAGCAGCCCCUUCACCUCCUUCUCUCUCUAAGUUUCAAAUUUUGAAAACUCUCUCACUUCUCUCUAAGAUUUCUUCACCUAAAUCUCUCUAAACCACCAAACUUCCUUCACAAAGAUUGUUCCCCUCACUCUCCUCUUCACAACCAUACCAUUUUCAUGGUGUGAAUCAAAAAUUUCGUGUCCCUUAUCAUCCCAAACAGCCAUGGUUUUGUGGAGAGCAAAGGCUAUGGAGUUGUGUUCUUGAGCUCUCUUGAAGAAUCACACUUGCUUGCUUGUUUCCUUUGAUUUUUGGGUGUGUGCUUGCCUAAAGGUGUGUUCUUGGUGGAAAAAGGUGGAGACUUGAGCUAAAGGAGAAACCUUGAAGAUGUGUGCCUAGAGAACCGUGCACUUGAGGAUUUUGUUGGAGCAUACGUAUUAUAUUGGAGUGUGGGCUUGUGCUAAGCUCCCUAAGGUACCCAGAGUAGUGGUGAUGCUUCUAGGGGCAAGGCCCCCGCAUUGGAGUAGUUGAUGAUGCAGCUGAUGAUUUUAUAUUAUGUUUAGAUUUGAUGUUGGCAUGUAGACUUGUUAACAUGCUUAAUUAUUUUAUGGAGAUUAUUGUAUGUAUUUAUUUAGGCUCAUGAUAGUAUUCUUAGAGCCAUGGAUUAUUUACUGAUACUUUUAUACUUCGAAUUAAUAUAGACUUGAUGCAUGUAUUCAGUUAAUUU